rnacentral:rRNA from 1 species
AUUGAACGCUGGCGGCAGGCCUAACACAUGCAAGUCGAGCGGAUGAAGGGAGCUUGCUCCUGGAUUCAGCUGCGGACGGGUGAGUAAUGCCUAGGAAUCUGCCUGGUAGUUGGGGAUAACGUCCGGAAACGGGCGCUAAUACCGCAUACGUCCUUAUGUAGAAAGUGGGGGAUCUUCGGACCUCACGCUAUCAGAUGAGCCUAGGUCGGAUUAGCUAGUUGGUGGGGUAAAGGCCUACCAAGGCGACGAUCCGUAACUGGUCUGAGAGGAUGAUCAGUCACACUGGAACUGAGACACGGUCCAGACUCCUACGGGAGGCAGCAGUGGGGAAUAUUGGACAAUGGGCGAAAGCCUGAUCCAGCCAUGCCGCGUGUGUGAAGAAGGUCUUCGGAUUGUAAAGCACUUUAAGUUGGGAGGAAGGGCAGUAAGUUAAUAUCUUGCUGUUUUGACGUUACCAAAAGAAUAAGCAACGGCUAACUUCGUG